UUUCUUUUUUUUUUUUAUAUUUUUUUUGGUGCUGUUUGAUAAAAUUUGAAGUAUAGAGAGGUGUUCUUUUGAAAGAAGAUGAGUAAGCAGACCAGGCUAGUGUUUAAAUGGAUGAUGAUGAUUAAAGUUGGAUGAAGAAAAGUACCAUAUAUUACAGAAAAAAUAAUGUAGCUUUGUUUAGUGAAUAUUUCCCUAACACAAGAGAUGAAGUGAAAGCUCAUGGGGUAACGUUUAGCCAAGGAUAUGUAACAAUAUAGGCUGAUGAAGGGCAGGUCCACAACAAUUUAAAAUUUAAAAUUAAAAAAAAAAAUGCAUUUAUAAUUCGAAUAUAAAUCGAAUAUUUUUUUUACUCUAUUUUUAAAUAAAAUAAAAAAAAAAAAAAACAAGCCAUAUUUUUAAAAUGUAGUCGAUUUUCCUGUCAUCUCCACAGCCAAAGCCCCCUUUCACCAUUUUUCUGCAUAAGAUAUUUGAUCAUCUUAUGCAAAUCAACAGAACAAAUGCAACAAUAAGAAUGUAGGAUGAUUAUUUUAACAAGCAUAUACUGGAGAGUUUAAAUAUGCAAAUUACAUAUGUCUUAGUAUCUUAAUCAAUAAUAAUAAUUAAAGUUUUAAUUAAUUAGCUCUAGGAAAGGUAGUACAUGGAAUUUGGCAACUUGAAGGUUCUUUUAGUAGUGGGGAGACCUGCAAAACUGCUCCACUGAUCUCCAAUGAUUCCCCAAAUGCGGUACCCUUCAUCCAUCAAUCUUUUUCUUGCUGAAGCUUUGUAUUCUUGCACUCUUGUGAGUUCAUCUUCAAGACCCCUGUAGUAAAAUAGAAUAUUAGGGCUGUGCAAUCGGCCAGUUCUAUUUCGAAUCAAAUGGAAUUGUAUAUGAUCAUUUUGUUACUGAUACAAAAAGGAAUAAAGAUCAUUUGCUUAAGGUUAAAACUUGUUGAUAAUGGUGAGUGGACAUACCUUAAUAUGAGACUAGACCAUCCAUGAUACCCAACAUUGAUAAGGUUAUCCACAGUAGCAGAUCUUAGGGUUUCACUUCUUGAGGAGAUAAGAAAGAUUUUGACCCCUUUAUUUUUGAUCUCAUGGAAAAGAUUGAAGGUGUGAUCUAGAGCUGGUGCCUUGCUUUCUUUCAUCCAUUCUUCCAACAAGGUUGUAUUCAACUUCUCUCCCCCAAAAUUAUGUUUCUUGUAGAAAGGAAUGGUAGACAAAAGGGUAUCAUCAACAUCAAAAAUCCAAGCAUCUUUACCAUCACCUUCCAGAGUGCAGCAACUGCUGAGAUAGAGUCUCACCUCUUCAAUUGCUCUCUCAGAGUCUGCUUCAUACUGAGAAGAUGUCAUGUAAUGCUUGAUGUAAGCCACACAUUCCUGAGGCACAACCUCAAAUUCCCUAAUGUUGUUUAGUUCCACAUUAAUCCUCCAACUUUCACAAUAGUUCUUCAAGCUAGACUUCAAUCCAUAAUGUUUCCUUUUCUGCUUCAAAAUGUUCCAAUCUGCUGCAACUAGUCCAAUGCAGAGGCUUGUCAAAGCCAAUGUGAGCACAAGAUUUCUUCCCAUUUGCAGAGGAAAGAGAGAGAGAGAUCAAUUUCUUAUUUUUGGUAGAAUGGGAUUUAGAUAUUUGAUUGAUUAAAU
rnacentral:misc_RNA from 1 species